AAUAACCCUUUUUAGAUACAGCUAAUUAAUUAACAACAAUCUUCAUCACAGGGAACUUUACCUUAAAAUAGUCCAAGUAUUAUUACUGUUAAUCAUUUAAUACUCCUCCAAUGAAGGCUGGACCCCACAAGUUGCUGCAGGACAUUCAUCAUCCACAGUUGAACCCCAAACUACACCUCAACUGGCUCCACCAACAACACAGGUUGCCGUUCCCUGGCCUCAUCCCCCUGCAGCUCCAGCUACACCUCAACGGGCCCCACCAACAACACAGGUUGCUGUUGCCGUUGCCCAGCCUCAUCCCCCUGCAGCUCCACCUACACCCCCGAAGUCCUUGAUUUUAUCAGAAAGGUGACAGUGUUGAAGGAGGCUGUCCAGCUCCCAGUAGAGUGGUGUCACGUAAAAGAAAAGGGCCAAAAAAUGAAGCAGGUCGAGUGGGAGCCAUGCAAACUCUGUGGAAAGAAGUGGCCAUUGGAGUGGGUGGCGCAUGACAACACUUGUUAGUGCUUCCAUUGUAGGUGCAAUUUGUGUGCGGAGAUCUGCUAUGACUCGUCGAGUUUGCCGUUAGGCGCAGCGAUCAGGGUUGGGGAUGUGACGAGUGGGAGGAGUGAGGGAGGAGCCAUCAACGCUACUUACACUCUACAUUAUGUUACACACUUUUACUGGCAAUCACAUCAAAGCCACGCCCUAAAACACCCCCUGCUUUAUCGCUGAUUUAAAAAUCGAGACCAUAAUUCAAAAAAUGAAUAUCAUUCUGUGUUGCAGAAGACUUAAAACUAGCGAUUGAGACCAUAAACUCAUUAUGAAAAUGUUAACUGAGGUCAUGAAUCAAGUUAGAAGUGGCUGACAGGUUUAAGACACUAACGCAUUUGCAGCACUUCUCUGAAACGGAUGGUUUUUACAUUAAUAUUUACAGUCAGUGUUCGAGUGUCAUAUAUCCAUUUCUGUUUUGCGUCUGUGUUAAUAUUGUAAUAACUUGUAAUGCAUGUACUUUUUUGUGUGUUUGUUUAUUAUUGUCACUCUAAGCUAAGGUUGCA